CAAAGAUGUCUAUUGAGAAGGCCUCCUAAUCUUUAAGUCAGGCUGCAGCUGCUCACCCUGUAACUACCAUGCUGGAGCAGGCAAGGUACAGGGAGACAGCUGAGGACCAAGCAGGGCCCCCAGAAGAAAGAACAUCACCAUGAACUCCAAACCAGCCAAUGCAAGCCAAACCAACUCACAGAUGGAGAAAUAACCAUGGCCUGGGACUCCCAGACCCAGUACAAUAGCAAGACUCGAAGCUCUCAGGACAAAAGCUCUGACUUGACUGUAUCUUGUAACCCUGAUUGCUGGACCCAAAGGCGUUAUUAGUAAAUAUGGAUUGACUGACAGAAGAAUCCAGACUGCACAAGGCAGAUGGGUGGGCAGAUGGCCACCUUCCAAAUUACCUGAACACCGUUAUGAGGCAUUGGUCAUGAGGUCCUCCAGCUACUAGUGUGUCUGGGGGGAGGAGAACACACGCACGACUGGCCCCCAUAAGCACCCUCAUCAGUGCCCCAGACAGGUGCUGCGGGGCAUGAGGAGACGCAGGGUGGAGGUGGGAAGGGGCCAGGCCUCCCUCGUGGGCAGAGGCGCAGGGAGGUGCUGGGGCCGGUGUGGGCUCAGCCAUCUGGGAUGGCGGGUGGGAGGGUACUGUGAGGAGGAAACAAGCCUGAAUGAAAAGAUGGGACAGAAAGAUAUUUUGUGAGGGGCCCCCAAUAACCUGUGGCAGAGAGAGGCUUCAGACUGCAUUCUACAAACUGAAAUGACAACUUCAAGAUGGCUCUUUUGUCUGUGCGACUCACUGCCUUCUGGGAAAACCACAAACUUCACUGGAGCUGCCAUCAUUCCAACAUGAUCCCAGCUCCCUAGAGCCAGCUCAAGAUAAGCCAGUGGGUGAUUUCCUGACAUCUUUUGGAAGAAGCGGUUCUGCCUAGAAGGGAAGAAUGCGGACACGGUGGCGAUGGGCACUUUGGGGGCAUUUCAGCUGUGAGACCCAGAUGCUACUGCCCUGCCUGCAGGUCGGCUGUUCAACUCUUCUCUCAAGAACACUGGCCAUCCCAAGAGCAUCUCAAUAAACUGAAAGAGCUUCCUCCUUUCAAUUAAAAGGUAGAACAAGUUGGACUUGUGCAGCCUGCAACCAAGAGUGUCCUAAUGUCGCCGAAUACAAC
rnacentral:lncRNA from 1 species